UACGAAGGGGGGCAAGCGUUGUUCGGAAUUAUUGGGCGUAAAGGGAGCGUAGGCGGUUCGGCAAGUCUCUUGUGAAAUCUCUGGGCUCAACUCAGAGUCUGCAAGGGAAACUGCCGGGCUGGAGUAUGGGAGAGGUGAGUGGAAUUCCUGGUGUAGCGGUGAAAUGCGCAGAUAUCAGGAAGAACACCCGUGGCGAAGGCGGCUCUCUGGGACGGUACUGACGCUGAGACGCGAAAGCGUGGGGAGCGAACGGG
rnacentral:rRNA from 1 species